UGGGGAAUAUUGGACAAUGGGCGAAAGCCUGAUCCAGCCAUGCCGCGUGUGUGAAGAAGGUCUACGGAUUGUAAAGCACUUUAAGGUGGGAGGAAGGGCAGUAAGCGAAUACCUUUCUGUGUUGACGUUACCGACAGAAUAAGCACCGGCUAACUCUGUGCCAGCAGCCGCGGUAAUACAGAGGGUGCAAGCGUUAAUCGGAAUUACUGGGCGUAAAGCGCGCGUAGGUGGUUCGUUAAGUUGAAUGUGAAAGCCCCGGGCUCAACCUGGGAACUGCAUCCAAAACUGGCGAGCUAGAGUAGGGCAGAGGGUGGUGGAAUUUCCUGUGUAGCGGUGAAAGGCGUAGAUAUAGGAACGAACACCAGUGGCGAAGGCGACCACCUGGGCUCAUACUGACACUGAGGUGCGAAAGCGUGGGGAGCAAACAGG
rnacentral:rRNA from 1 species